rnacentral:rRNA from 1 species
ACUACCCGGCCUUGACAUUGAUAGAAUCCUGCAGAGAUGCAGGAGUGCCCUUUGGGGAGCUUGAAAACAGGUGCUGCACGGCUGUCGUCAGCUCGUGUCGUGAGAUGUUGGGUUAAGUCCCGCAACGAGCGCAACCCUCGUCCUUAGUUGCCAGCAGGUUAAGCUGGGCACUCUAGGGAGACUGCCUUCGCAAGGAGGAGGAAGGUGAGGACGACGUCAAGUCAUCAUGGCCCUUAUGGCCAGGGCUACACACGUGCUACAAUGGGGCGUACAGAGUGUUGCAAUACCGCGAGGUGGAGCCAAUCACUUAAAGCGUCUCUCAGUUCGGAUUGUUCUCUGCAACUCGAGAACAUGAAGCUGGAAUCACUAGUAAUCGUAGAUCA